rnacentral:lncRNA from 1 species
UGUAUUUGUACUCGGCUCGAAACAGGUGUAAUAGUUCGCUAAAAGCUCGCAUACACCUUGUUUCCUAGCCUCGUACAAAUACAGCUGAUAUUUAAAGACACUAAACAUUGUCUAUGUCAUAUAGAGUCACUGACAUGAUAUCCCUUUUCCUCAUGAAUAUUUAAAUAGAAAUUGCCGAGAUUAUAAUUAAUUAUUCAUACGACCUAUUCAACCUGUUCUUGUUUUCAAUGUAUAAUACAACGAC